CUUCUGUUACUGCCAAGAGACUCGCACAAACACCAGGAGAGCAACGGCUUUGACAUCUGACAGCUGCAGAGAGACCCAACUUAAUCCUGUCAUCUCCCAAGGAGGAACAACUGUUGCCCUGACCUGGAAUCAGAAGAUGAGAAAAAGUAUUGCGUUACCAUGGCAACCACAGCUCCAAAAAUAAAUGUUCUUCAAAACUGU